GAAUCCGCUAAGGAGUGUGUAACAACUCACCUGCCGAAUGAACUAGCCCUGAAAAUGGAUGACGCUUAAGCGGGCAGCCGACACCAAGCCGUUUUAGUAAUAAGCGGCUAAAAUGAGUAGGAGGGCGUGGUGGUCAUGUUGGGAAGGGUGAGACGCAAGUCUACCUGAAACGGUCACUAGUGCAGAUCUUGGUGGUAGUAGCAAAUAUUCAAGCGAGAUCCUUGAAGGGCGAAGCGAGGAAGGGUUCCACGCGAACAUUGAUUGGGCGUGGGUGAGUCGUUCCUAAGCCGGGUGGUAAUCGUUCUUCGAUCGGCGAAAGGGAAGCGGGUUAAAAUUCCUGCACACGGAUGUGAAAGCGGUGACGCAAAUUGAGAUGGAGACGUUAGCGGUGGCGCUGGACAGAGUUGUCUUUUCUGUUUGACCUGUGAGUGCACUCUGUGGAAUCCGAUUAUCGGGAGAAACAGGUGCCAAUGGGCAGAGCGUCGGGGCAUUCCCGGCGUCCAGAACGCCACCGAUAGCCCUUGAAAAUCCAUCUGCAACAAUUAAAUUUCACGCCGUGGCGUACCGAUAACCGCAUCAGGUCCUCAAGGUGAACAGCCUCUGCUCAAUAUGAACAAUGCAGGUAAGGGAAGUCGGCA
rnacentral:rRNA from 1 species